UACGAAGGGGGCUAGCGUUGCUCGGAAUUACUGGGCGUAAAGGGCGCGUAGGCGGUUUGACAAGUUGGAUGUGAAAGCCCUGGGCUCAACCCGGGAAUUGCAUUCAAGACUGUUUUACUUGAAUUCGGUAGAGGUUGGUGGAAUUCCCAGUGUAGAGGUGAAAUUCGUAGAGAUUGGGAAGAACACCCGUGGCGAAGGCGGCCAACUGGACCGACAUUGACGCUGAGGCGCGAAAGCGUGGGGAUCAAACAGG
rnacentral:rRNA from 1 species